rnacentral:rRNA from 1 species
UGGGGAAUAUUGGACAGUGGGGGGAACCCUGAUCCAGCCAUGCCGCGUGUGUGAAGAAGGCCUUAUGGUUGUAAAGCACUUUAAGCGAGGAGGAGGGUACUGGUAUUAAUACUACCAGCUACUGGACGUUACUCGCAGAAUAAGCACCGGCUAACUCUGUGCCAGCAGCCGCGGUAAUACAGAGGGUGCGAGCGUUAAUCGGAUUUACUGGGCGUAAAGCGUGCGUAGGCGGCUAAUUGAGUCGGAUGUGAAAUCCCCGAGCUUAACUUGGGAAUUGCAUUCGAUACUGGUUAGCUAGAGUGUGGGAGAGGAUGGUAGAAUUCCAGGUGUAGCGGUGAAAUGCGUAGAGAUCUGGAGGAAUACCGAUGGCGAAGGCAGCCAUCUGGCCUAACACUGACGCUGAGGUACGAAAGCAUGGGGAGCAAACAGG